rnacentral:rRNA from 1 species
UACGGAGGGUCCGAGCGUUAUCCGGAAUCAUUGGGUUUAAAGGGUCCGUAGGCGGGGCAUUAAGUAAGGGGUGAAAUGUUGCAGAUAAAAUGCAGAAAGGCCUUUGAUACUGGUGUUCUAGAGUUAUGUUGCUGUGGUCGGAACAAGUGGUGUAGCCGUGAAAUGCAUAGAUAUCACAUAGAACGCCGAUUGCGAAGGCAGGUCACACAGCAUAUAAUGACGCUGAGAGAUGAAAGCGUCGGUACGGACCCCG